AGAAUGGAUGUGCAAGAAUUAUCCUUAUUUCCUUUGCUUUGGCAUCUCCUUAUACCUGGCUUUUGCUCAGCCUGUGUUCCUACUGAGUGUCUGAAAUGUAACAACACAGGAGAAACUCUGUCAGAUUUAUGCCCAGUCUGUUCAAACAACGGUACUCAGUGCAUCCCUG